rnacentral:rRNA from 1 species
AGUAACACGUGGGCAACCUACCCCUCGCAGGGGGACAACCGGAGGAAACUCCGGCUAAUACCCCGUACGUUCUCAGGGUCGCAUGUCCCUGGGAAGAAAGGUAGCUUCGGCCAUCCGGCGAGGGAUGGGCCCGCGGUGCAUUAGCUAGUUGGUGGGGUAACGGCUCACCAAGGCGACGAUGCAUAGCUGGUCUGAGAGGAUGAUCAGCCACACUGGGACUGAGACACGGCCCAGACUCAUACGGGAGGCAGCAGCCAGGAAUCUUGGGCAAUGGGCGCAAGCCUGACCCAGCAACACCGUGUGGGCGAUGAAGGCCUUCGGGUCGUAAAGCCCUGUUGAUAGGGACGAAGGGCGAAGGGUUAAUAGCCCCUAGCCUGACGGUACCUUUCGAGGAAGCCCCGGCUAACUACGUGC